AUACGUAGGGGGCGAGCGUUGUCCGGAAUGACUGGGCGUAAAGGGCGCGUAGGCGGUUGUUUAAGUUAGGAGUGAAAGUCCAGCUUUUAAGGUUGGAAUAGCUUUUAAUACUGGAUGACUUGAGUGCGGAAGAGGUAAGUGGAAUUCCCAGUGUAGCGGUGAAAUGCGUAGAGAUUGGGAGGAACACCAGUGGCGAAGGCGACUUACUGGGCCGUAACUGACGCUGAGGCGCGAAAGCGUGGGGAGCGAACAGGAUUAGAUACCCUGGUAGUCCACGCGGUAAACGAUGAAUGCUAGGUGUAGGGGGUAUCGACCCCUUCUGUGCCGGAGCAAACGCAAUAAGCAUUCCGCCUGGGGAGUACGGCCGCAAGGUUGAAACUCAAAUGAAUUGACGGGG
rnacentral:rRNA from 1 species